GCCGGGAUAGCUCAGCUGGGAGAGCAACAGACUGAAGCCCAAAAGCGGCUUUCUGGAGGUCCCGUGUUCAAUCCACGGUCCUGGCA